rnacentral:rRNA from 1 species
AGAUGAGAUUUCCCAUUUCUUUAAGAAAGUAAGAUCCCUGAAAGAAGAUCAGGUAGAUAGGUUUGGAGUGGAAGUAUGGCGACAUAUGGAGCGGACAAAUACUAAUCGAUCGAGGACUUAACCAAU